UACUAGAGUAGCACUCGCAUAUCAAUAAGCGGAGGAAAAGAAACUAACUAGGAUUCCCUCAGUAACGGCGAGUGAAGCGGGAAGAGCUCAAAUUUGAAAUCUUCAAGGUUCUACCUUGACGAAUUGUAGUUUAAAGAAGUGUUUUCUGUUGAAGUUUUGGUAAAAGUUCUUUGGAAUAGGACAUCAUAGAGGGUGAGAAUCCCGUAUUUGACCAUUAUUUCCAGCUGUGUGAUACACUUUCAAAGAGUCGGAUUGUUGGGAAUGCAGUCCAAAAUGGGUGGUAAAUUUCAUCUAAAGCUAAAUACUGGCGAGAGACCGAUAGCGAACAAGUACCGUGAGGGAAAGAUGAAAAGAACUUUGAAAAGAGAGUUAAACAGUACGUGAAAUUGUCAAAAGGGAAGCGUUUGACACCAGUGUUGUUUUCUCGAAAAUCAAUUAAAAAUGAUGGGAUUUUGUGUUGUAUUGACCUUAUCAAGCUUUCUUCACUUUUUUCAUGAUCUUUUUUAAUGCACUUUUCGUUUAACAAGUCAACAUCAGUUUCUUUUGUUGUAAAAGAGUCAUUGGAAGGUGGCUUUUCUUUCGGAGAAAGUGUUUAUAGCCUUUGACUUCUGCAAUCGGAGAGAUUGAGGUCUGCAGCGUAGAUCCUUCGGGGUUAGAUACAUUUAUGCUAAGCUAUAGUUCUUUAUAGACAACUUGUUGACUAUAAUCAAUCCUGUAACUUACUCGCUUAUGCUAUUUUACCUACGCUUAGGAUGUUGAUAGUCACAGCGUGUAC
rnacentral:rRNA from 1 species